UCCUACGGGAGGCAGCAGUGAGGAAUCUUGGUCAAUGGAGGGAACUCUGAACCAGCCACGUCGCGUGAAGGAGGAAGGCCUUACGGGUCGUAAACUUCUUUUUCGGGGGAAUAAACGGGGUCACGCGUGGCCCCCUGCAUGUACCCCGCGAACAAGGAUCGGCUAACUCCGUGCCAGCAGCCGCGGUAAUACGGAGGAUCCGAGCGUUAUCCGGAUUUAUUGGGUUUAAAGGGUGCGCAGGCGGGUUGCUAAGUCGGUGGUGAAAUCCCGGGGCUCAACCCCUGGCUUGCCAUCGAAACUGGUUACCUUGAGUAUGGGUGAGGCAGGCGGAAUUCGUGGUGUAGCGGUGAAAUGCAUAGAUAUCACGAGGAACCCCGAUCGCGUAGGCAGCUUGCCAUUCCAUCACUGACGCUCAGC
rnacentral:rRNA from 1 species